CGUCGCCUGUUUAACAAAAACAUGUCUUUUUGAUUAUAAUUUAAGGUUUGAUCUGCUCAAUGAGGAUUUAAAUUGCCGCAGUAUUUUGACUGUGCAAAGGUAGCAUAAUAAUUAGUUUUUUUAUUGAAAGCUGGAAUGAAUGAUUGGACGAGAAAAUUACUGUCUCUUUAUAAUUUAAUUUUAAAUUUAACUUUUGAGUAAAAAGGCUCAAAUUUAACUUGAAGACGAGAAGACCCUAUAGAGUUUAAUAUUGCUUAGUUUAUUAUAUUUUUGGUAUUUANUUUUUGGUAGAUAAAGUUUUAUUUGGUUGGGGUGACUAGAAGAAUAAUUAAACUCUUCUUUAAUUUUUAUCAAUGAUUUUUGAGUAUAUAAUCUGGUAUUUCCAAAUUUAAUAUAAAUUACCUUAGGGAUAACAGCGUAAUUUCCUUUUAGAGUUCUUAUUGGAAAGGAAGUUUGCGACCUCGAUGUUGGAUUAAAAUUUAUUUCUGGUGCAGAAGCUUGAAUAUUGAGUCUGUUCGACUCUUAAAAUUUUACGUGAUCUGAGUUC
rnacentral:rRNA from 1 species